rnacentral:rRNA from 1 species
UACGUAGGGGCCUAGCGUUGUCCGGAAUUGUUGGGCGUAAAGAGCUCGUAGGCGGUCUGUUGCGUCCGCUGUGAAAACUCGGGGCUUAACCCCGAGCCUGCAGUGGAUACGGGCAGACUAGAGGUAGGUAGGGGAGAAUGGAAUUCCCGGUGUAGCGGUGAAAUGCGCAGAUAUCGGGAGGAACACCGGUGGCGAAGGCGGUUCUCUGGGCCUUACCUGACGCUGAGGAGCGAAAGCGUGGGGAGCGAACAGG